rnacentral:rRNA from 1 species
AUUGAACGCUGGCGGCAUGCCUUACACAUGCAAGUCGAACGGUAACGCGGGGCAACCUGGUGACGAGUGGCGAACGGGUGAGUAAUGCAUCGGAACGUGCCCAGUAGUGGGGGAUAGCCCGGCGAAAGCCGGAUUAAUACCGCAUACGACCUACGGGUGAAAGCGGGGGGCCGUAAGGCCUCGCGCUAUUGGAGCGGUCGAUGUCAGAUUAGGUUGUUGGUGGGGUAAAAGCCUACCAAGCCGACGAUCUGUAGCUGGUCUGAGAGGACGACCAGCCACACUGGGACUGCGUCCCGGCCCAGACUCCUACGGGAGGCAGCGUUCCUUCAUUUUGGACAAUGGGAGCAACCCUUCUCCCCCCAUGCCGCGUGCGGGAAGAAGGCCUUCGGGUUGUCCCCCUCUUUUCUCAGGGCCUCCGCUCUCUCUCCUCCUCCCCCGGGGUAAUGACGGUCCCUGCCGCCUCCGCACCGGCUAACUACGUGCCAGCCGCCGCCGUAAUCC